rnacentral:rRNA from 1 species
UACGUAGGGAGCGAGCGUUGUCCGGAAUUACUGGGUGUAAAGGGAGCGUAGGCGGGAUGGCAAGUUGGGUGUUAAAUCUACCGGCUCAACUGGUAGCUGCACUCAAAACUGCCGUUCUUGAGUGAAGUAGAGGCAGGCGGAAUUCCUAGUGUAGCGGUGAAAUGCGUAGAUAUUAGGAGGAACACCAGUGGCGAAGGCGGCCUGCUGGGCAUUAACUGACGCUGAGGCUCGAAAGCGUGGGGAGCAAA